AUCCUCCCUUUCCCAUCGGAUCUGAACCUGGUCUUGGUGGUCACACAAGGAGGGAAAGGGACACUGAAGCAGACCUCUGGUGGUGUAGCCUGGCUGCACCCUGGGGCUGGUUUAGGU
rnacentral:snoRNA from 1 species